UUUUUUUAAGAGUUUGAUCCUGGCUCAGGAUGAACGCUGGCGGCGUGCCUUAGGCAUGCAAGUCGAACGGCCGGAGAUCAGAAACCGGAAGUCGGAUGCCGGAAUUCAGAAAUCGGAUUUGCUAUAGUUGUGUGUAUGGAGGUAAGUAAAUUAAGGGUUUACAGACAAUGUCUGCAAGCUUUUCAGAUGGUUGAAGAUAUUGCUAAGGAUUUACCCCCAGAGCUAUUUGACACAAAAAGACAAAUAUUGCGCAGUUCAAAAGCUAUUGCGCCAAUAAUUGCCGAAGGUUUUGGCAGAAAAAGAUCUCAACGCGAGUUCUAUAAAUACGUUAUAGAUGCUAUGAGUUCUUCUGAUGAAACCAUUACACAUUUACGUACUAUUGCAAUGUCCAAAUUUAAUACAAUUCCGAUUGAGAAAUUGAAGAAAACUGCAGAAGUGUACAAGUCUAUUUCUAGACAGCUUAAUAAAUUAUCUUCAACUAUUAAAUCGAAGCUUGUAAUCUGAAUUCCGAAAUCUGAUAUCUGGUUUCUGGUAUCUGAUCUCCGGCAGUGGCGGAAGGGUGAGUAACGCGUGGGAACGUACCUUUUGGUGGAGCAUAGCCUUCCGAAAGGAGGGGUAAUACUGCAUAAUCCCAAGGCUUCGCCUUGUGAAAUUCGAAGCACGAAUAUCGAGACUCGAAACAAAUCACGAUGUUCAAAUUUUCAAAAUCCAAAACGUUUUGAUCAUUUGGAUUUUAGGAUUUAAGUAUUGUUUCGGAUUUCGGAUUUAGAAUUUAGAAUUUCCCAAAGUGGAGCUUUGGGCAAAGGGCUUAACCGCCCGCCGAAAGAGCGGCCUACGUCCUAUCAGCUUGUUGGUGGGGUAAAAGCCUACCAAGGCGAUGACGGGUAGCUGGACUGAGAGGUCGGUCAGCCACAAGGGAACUGAGACACGGUCCCUACACCUACGGGUGGCAGCAACUAGGAAUUUUGGACAAUGGGCGAAAGCCUGAUCCAGCGACGCCGCGUGGGGGAAGAAGGCCUUCGGGUUGUAAACUCCUUUUGUCCCGUGUAAUGCGGGAAGAAUAAGCACCUGCUAACUACGUGCCAGCAGCCGCGGUGAGACGUAGGGUGCAAGCGUUAUCCGGAUUUACUGGGCGUAAAGGGUUGCGUAGGCGUCCAGCUGCAUCUUGUCUGAAAGCCCUCCGCUUAACGGGGGAUCCGGACAGGAAAUGGGCUGGAUUUGAGGUUCAUAGAGGUAGCCGGAACUUGCAGUGGAGCGGUGAAAUGCGUUGAUAUUGCAAGGAACACCGAUGGCGUAGGCAGGCUACUGGGUGAAAUCUGACGCUGAUGCACGAAAGCUAGGGGAGCGAAGCGGAUUAGAGACCCGCGUAGUCCUAGCCGUAAACGAUGGACACUAGCUGUCCGCCAAUUGGUGGAUGGCGCAAGCUAACGCGUUAAGUGUCCCGCCUGGGGAGUACGGCCGCAAGGCUAAAACUCAAA
rnacentral:rRNA from 1 species